rnacentral:rRNA from 1 species
GACGACGACGUUGAUAUGCCGGGUGUGUAAGCGCAGCGAUGCGUUGAGCUAACCGGUACUAAUGAACCGUGAGGCUUAACCUUACAACGCCGAAG